AACUUUUCCGCCUCUUUUCUUUCUUUCUUUGUUUUUAUUUGGUCAUUGUUCCAAUGAAAGGCAUUUGGAGAACAACCAGUUUAAUGGGCCAAUUCCUUCGUCACUUGGGAAGCUACCAAACCUGCGCGAAAUAUAUCUCCAGAAUAACAAACUAGAUGGCAAAGUUCCUCCGGAGUUGCAAAACCAGAGUAGCGUGAAAGUAUAACCAAGUACAGCACCUCUUCAUAAUCUGAUAGUUGUUUUCUUCUUCUGCCUUUCAACUACGCGACACCUACUGGGAGGCUCCUGGAAAUCACAUGUCAGAAUCAGCUUUAUGUCGCUGCAAAGAUGAUGAUAGAGGAGUAAUCACAAAUUUCUUUGGCAAUUUAGUAUGUGAUCAGGGAGCCUUUUAGGCC